CUUUCACACUUUAUGUCAUAGGCUCCGCCCAACAGGAAGUCAGCUAUCCAGGGCUGUUUAUAAAAAGCAUGCUCUGGAAUUUGAUAUACUUGUCAUAGGUCUUUUACUUGAUUGCCACCAAACUCGGUCAACAUGAUCUCAAGACAUUGGGGAUGGAAAAUUGCGAGGGGAUUUUUGAUAUCUCGAACGGUUUGCCCGUGGCGAGGCGUUGAAAUUAUGGCGAGAAAUGAGAAACAGGAAAUGUCUAAUAACAUCCACAUACAUUUCCUGAAUUUGAUCAAACUUCAUUGGUUUGUUCGUUGUAUGAUACUGAUCGUAUAUAUGUGACUAUUAAGAGUCAACAUUAUAGCGCCACCAACUGGCAGCAGGAAGUGUGUCAUUUUCCAAAUGCUUUGAAUUCAGCAUCUUAUUUUUACUCUAUUUACUUAAAACUUCAUCAGAAUAAUGACAAAACACGGCCGAUGUAAAUCUGUUGUGGGGAUAUUGAUAUCUGAUAUAGUGUUGCCAUGGCAAUGUGUCAAACUUGAAUGUCCUGUUAUGGUGAGUUUGAGGCAGACAACAAGCUCAGAUUUACAUAAAACUCAAAACACAUAUCAGUAUUAGUGAUAACUAGACAAUGGCAAAAGCUUUUAAAAGGGCGUGAAGGAGGCACUCUAUAGCGCCACCUUUUGUCAAAAGUGGGGGGGUUAGUUUUAGCUACAGACACCAAACUUGGUACAUAAAUUGUUCUUUUCAAGACGGACAACUUUCUAAUUCACAGUCAUCAGCUACGACCAACAGGAAGUCGGCUAUUUUGAUUUGAAUAUUUAAAUUGAGCUCUGAUUUAAUGCAUACUCCUCACAGGGGAAGUACACUAUACACACCAAACUUUGUCUACAUGAAGAAAAACCAUUGAGGAACUUAAAUUGCGAAUGGAUUUUGGUUAGCUUGAACGGUUUUGUCGUGGUGAAUUUUUGAAAUGACAGUAAAAAGGGAAACAUUGAUUGUCUUGUAUGUUUAAAUUGCAGCUUCCAAACACUUCAAAGCAUUUUUUUAUACAAAGAUCAAAUCAUUCUGAGGAAAUAUGCAUAGUUUCACGACUUUACAACACUGUAUGGAUAAAAGAAAAUUAAAAAACUGUCAGACUUCUCAACUGACAUGAUCUCACUCUGGCCACCCUGUCUGUGUGAGGGAAGGGAGGGGGAGAGGGAGGGGGAGUGUGAGGGGGUUGGUGACUGUGACAGUGUGUGUGGACUGUAGGGAGGGGCUGUCUGGCAGAGAGAGAGAGAGAGAGACCUAAUCAUCCCUUUAAUAAUCAGGAAAAAAAAAAUCUGUAUUUUAAAUUGUUAUUGUUUUUGUUGUUGCUAAUGGUGGUGUUUUUUCCUUUCAUUACAGGUUAAGAAAUCUCUUAGGCCUUAUCCUUUUCUGACAGUUUUAGGGAUUUAAAAACAUCCUAAGAACCCUAAUUUGUGCUGCAAAUAAUAAUUUCAAACUCAUUUGAUACUGACCUAUGACAACAUGUGACGUGACAUUUAUUAAUCUCAUGGAUGUAACAGUAAAACUCUUCAACUGACAGAUAAAGCUGCAAUGCAAGCAAAACUAUUUCACAAAUGCUUAUAGGUCAUUAAAAUCAUUACAAAACACUAAUACAUUAUUUAAGGAUUUGGUAACACUGUAAAAUAAUGUCUAAUUUGUUAACAUUAGUAUAUGCAAUGGUAACACUUUAUAAUAAUUGCACUCAUUAGCUAAGCUUUAGUAAAUAGUUCAUGAUUAUAAAGCCUUUUCCCUUAAUAAUAGUCAUUAUUAAGCAGUAAUACAUCUAUAAAUAAAUUGUUCUUGGUUUAAAAGCACAUAUAUUACAAAGGAGAUUAAAGUCUCAGUUGUCUUAUAAAAUAAAUAAAUAAACACAACCCAGUUUGAUUCAGAAUUCAGAAAUAUUUAUUUCAAGAUGCAAUAAAAGGAAACUGUACACUUGAAUAGCUUUUAUGCGAUUCUUGAAGGAUUAGCAUCACCUCCUCUUGUAAGAUCGUUUGAGGAAUAUAUCUUCCAGAUAGUACCGCCGCUCCCUAUAUGCAUAGUAUGCAGUCUUCGUAGGGCACCAACUCCAAGAGGGGGCACCAUCCCAGUUGCUCAACAAAAAAAACAAAAAAAAAAACAUGCGCCAUUCUCCCAUCCGCGCUCGCGACCGCUCACACCUCAUGUUUGCGGCUGAAUGUUCGUAAUUGAUGGAUGGACAUCUAUGCCUGGGUAUAGGACAUCAGCAAUCCGGAACAGAGAAAAGAAAACUAAAGAAAAUAAAACAGGCAUAAAGUUGUCUUGACAUUGGACUUUCUAGAGUCUCAAAUUUAGGGCCGGUCUCUAAAGUUACAUGUGAUAUUGUUAUACACUUUUCUAACGUCAGUAGCAUUUGACGAGAAUGACUUACAGUCAUAAAAACAACUGUAAUUGUUCAUCUAGGUGACAGCUAUAAUGCACAAUUAAAUUGAAUGUUUGAUAUUUAUUACAACAAACUGUAAGUCAUAUGCAGAGAUGUAUAAAGUACUAGAGACCCAUACUUGAGUAAAAGUACAAGUGCUCUAUCAAAAAAGUGACUUGAGUAGAAGUAGAAGUGCUCUUUAAGCACCACACUUAAGUAGAAGUACUAAAGUAUUCAACAUUUUUUGUACUUAAGUAUUGCAAGUAGUCUAUUUUAAAAUGUACUACUCAAGUACUGAAAGUAAAAGUAGAAGUAUUGUGUUAUGUAGCUAUUAAAGAAAAUAGUCAAAAGUUUGAACAUAUUGUUUUUACUAUUUCAAAUGAUUAACCUAAAGGACAAUAACAAUUCCUUUGACUAACUUCUUGUAAAUAAAAAACGGUUAGUAGGGUCAGUUAGCCCAAUUUGCAAAAUGAUGUCAUUGAUAACUUACCCUCAUGUUGUUUCAAACCCAUAAGACAUCAGAGGGUCAUUUAGAAUUUUUUGAAGCAUCCAAAAUACAUUUUGGUCCAAAAAUAGCAAAAACUACGACUUUAUUCAGCAUUGUCUUCUCUUCCAUGUCUGUUGUAAGAGUUAAAAACAAAGCAGUUUGUGAUAUCUGGUUCGCGAACGAAUCAUUCGAUGUAACCGGAUCUUUUUGAAACAGUCCACCAAAUCGAACUGAAUCGUUUUAAACAGUUCGCGUCUCCAAUACGCAUUAAUCCACAGAUUAAUUAAGCUUAACUUGUUUAAUGUGUCUGACACUCCCUCUGAGUUAAAACAAACCAAUAUCCCGGAGUAAUUCAUUGACUCAAACAGUACACUGACUGAACUGCUGUGAAGAGAGAACUGAAGAUGAACACCGAGCCGAGCCAGAUAAUGACUCGUUCACGAGUCAAGAACCGUUUCUGUCAGACGCGUCCGAUUCGUGAACCGAGGAGCUGAUGAUACUGCGCAUGUGUGAUUUAGCGUGAAGCAAACCGACACACAGAGCGUCUGAACUGAACUGAUUCUUUUGGUGAUUGAUUCUAAACUGAUUCUGUGUUAAUGUUAUGAGCCCAUGUGCAGUCAACGCCAAUGACGCCAUUGCAUCGAGCGCAAAAGAAUCAGUGAACUGUUUUCUUCAACUGGUUUAUUGAAUCGGAACUGUCAGAAAGAACUAACGUUACUGGUCAUCCGAGAACCGAUGCAACCGGC